UUUCCGUAGGUGAACCUGCGGAAGGAUCAUUACCGAAUUUAAUUCCGGGGUUGUAGCUGGCCAUUAUUUUGGCAUGUGCACGCCCUGGUAAUCCAAAUCAUUUAUACCUCUGUGCACUAUUAUGUGGGAUUGAUGAGGCUUUGGUGCUUGCGCCAAUGGCAUUAUCAUUCUCAUGUUUCACAUACACUCUUUAGUAUAGAAUGUUAUUGCGUUAGACGCAUCUUAAUACAACUUUCAGCAACGGAUCUCUUGGCUCUCGCACCGAUGAAGAACGCAGC
rnacentral:misc_RNA from 1 species